AGUAUUGCUGUGAAUAUUUAAAAAAACAAAGAGUUGGUAAUAUCAAAUAAAAUGUCGAAUAAUGUUGUGAGAUUCGAGAAAUUUUAAAGAUAAUAAAUUUAUAAUGUAAGAAAUAUAUGCGAAAGUUGAUGAUAUGUGAAAGUUUUGAGGUUGAUAACAAAAAUUUCAAAGGAGCUAUAAUAAUAUUUUACUACCAUAAUGUAAUAUUCGUUUUAUUAAUAGAUAUUUUAAAAUAAAAUAAGGAUAUACAGUCAUAUAAAUAAAAUAAGAAUACUUCAAAGUUAUGUACUAACGAUAAGUAUGAAGCAAAGAGAAAGAGAGGCGGAAAGGAACAACAAGACCAAGAUUAAAGUAUAAACAAGUUUUAGUAAUUAAUAUGAAAUAAAUUCACGCUUCAUAUAUGUUAUUUCAUUAAUUGAUUUAGCUUACUCGUUGCAAUUACGCCGCAAAAACGGAAUACCGCUUCUCCAUAACGAACCAUUUUGUUAAAUUUCGACCGAAUCAUCGGCCACAAUAUUGAAAUUGGCACAUAAAAGACCAAUCCAAAUGAGAACAGAACAGACAAAGAAAUGGUUAUUUUAAUUGAUUUCGCGAGUCUGAAAUAAUAAUAAUGAAAUCAUUUUUAAAUAAAGUAAUUUCAUGUGAAAUAUUCGGUUUAAAUACAAAUUCAAAUAAAAAUGAAGUAACAAGAAGAGUUUGAUUUUUAUAUAAAAAUAUGGAAGCGAAAAAUUCAAAUUUAUAGAUAUAUUUUAUUUAUCCUAUUCUCACGUCUGUUUAAAAAUAUGCGUUCUGAAUUGAUGGGGCCGCAAUUGAAAUAUGGUAAGGAUAAUUUAUUAUCGAGUAUGCAUGUACGCAUGCUUUAAGCUCUCGAUACUACGAGAAUGGAAUUUAUUUAUUCAUGUUACAAUAACGUGCAUUCUUCCGUCGCGAAUAAGAAGAAUACUUUCUUCGAAUCGCUUAUACAUAACUCGUGAAUGUGACAGAUUAAAUAAAGAGCAGUCGAGCAGUAUCUGUCUCAAUAAAAUAAAAAAUAUUUUGACAGAACGUUGGUAGAGAAUAAAAUAUAAAAUAGGAAUGCGAUAGUAAUGUUAAUAGUCAACAGAAAUUUCCCACAAACCGUAACGAUCGUGAUAAAUGAGUCUUUUUAACGAAUGAAUAAAAUAUAAUGUUUGUGUGUAUUUAGCAAUAUUUAUCAAAUUUACACUGACAAUACUCUUAUUUAUCGUACAAGGAUAGUAAGAUAGAAGUGAUAUAAAAAUCGUGUAUUAUCUGAAAGAAUAAACAGAAGCGUUUGUCUAAUGCUAAGUGUCGACUUGAGAGUAAAAUUAUCGCGUGUUGCUCUCGAGAGCGUUCUUUCAUGUGGACAUUGCAUUUAAUGUUUAGUUACAUAUUGAUAUUUACGACUGAUAGUUGCGAUUUAUCCUUGAAUGGUUACGAAUCAUAUUACUAUCGGACAGUUACUCGCAGCAGUUUCGAAUUCUUGAGAGAACUCUCGUGCGAGCUGUCACUCGAAUCUCUCUUGUUCUCAGGUUGGUUUACGUAGCCCGUGGAUGACAAUCGCCUGCAUGAUGCCAUUUCAGGAUGGGUUUUGAAUCUCAAAUGAACACGAUUCUGAGAGCUCUGUCUGACAGGAAGUUCUCGUAAUUUCGCAAGAAACUAUCAGAAGUGGAUACUUAGCAUAAAGCUGUAGACAAUGUCACAUUAUUCAUUAAGAGAGAUACGAGUUGAUUGAUACGAGGAAAAUUAUCUUCAAUUCAGAUAUCAUAACGCUAAAAUAUUUGUUUAUUAUUACCUUGUAACAGAUGACAUAUAAACGGGGAUCACAUUUAAAAGCUUAAUAUAAAAGAAGACAGAACGCCAUGUUUUCGAGAUCUUAUUACGAAACUUGUUCAAUAAGUAUCAUAUUUGAAGUUAACAAGUGUCUGGUAAUUUAUGAACGGGACUAUAACUAACAAAAGUCUUAUUAACAAUGAAUGUUAGCAAGUCAAAUCAUUUGAUCGAAAUAAUUAAAAGAUUUGAUUGAAUUCGUUUUAUUGAAAUGUUUAUAGCACUUUCUUAUAAAGAACGAUCGAUUACUCUUCUACGUCCAUUCUCUAUUUUAUCCGUAUACCAAGCGGAAGACUAACAAUUAAUUUCGCAAUAAAACCUUUAUUUGCGACAAAUAUCAUCGAUAAUCAACAUGAUUAUUAUAAAGCAGCAAUCUUGUUAACGAAAAAAUAAAUUAGACUUAACAUCCUUUCAAAACACAAUUGAUCGAUACAUUUUUAAUACCAGUUGCGCGGUUGAAAUUAAACGUCAUCAUCACGAUCUUUCUUAUAAUUAAUACAUUGAAAACGUGUGAAUUAAUGUUUCCCAUUUUUUAGAUAUCAAGAACAAAGUGCGUUAAUCGACGUUUUCCAUUUUAUUUUAUUUCACAUAUCUCCCAAAAAUAUACAGAAACGGAGGUAAAAUUUAUUUAAAAAUAUGCAGUAAGAUAACUACGUCUAAGAUGACUACGUUUUUCGUAAAAUUAAGGAAAGUACACAAGGAAACAAACGAACGACAAUAACUAAAAGUUUCGUCUCGAAAUUACGCUCGUUUUUACGUAGAAAACGCAUCAUCGUGCUUGUCUCGAGUACGAAACGUUCCUUGAACACGAACAGAUAGGAAAAAUUCAUCACUGAUAAGGAAAGUAUUCGAUGGAAUGUAGUACUUGCACACGUGUAUGUAUACAGUGGGUACAAAAAGUAUUUGCAAAUAUCUUUAUUUUUCAAUGCAGUAUUUUUUAAAUUAUUUUUUUAUUUUUCCAUUAUUUACGUUUCAUUUCCGUAAUAUCAAACUUUUGUAAACUUAUGAAAAUAUUACCACAGGUAAAGUACUAUCAUAAGAAUAAUACGAACUUUAUCGUAAUUGUAUCUAAUUAAUUAAUACAUACACACAAUUGUGGACAAAAAUAAUAUAUAAAAUAGUGAAAAAUAGAAGAAUAAAAAUUAAAUAGUAGAAGUGAGUAUCAACGAAGUUUAAUCGAACUAGUAUUAGUGUUAUAUACUUAAAUCAUAUUUAUUAUACUCUUAUACUCUUAUAGUACAAGGAUUAAUUGGUAAACAAUUGAAAUUGAUAUUUACAUUUUUAUGUAAGCAUUGUUUAACUAAAUUUCAUUGGCAUCUAUUUCUAUUAUCUAUCCGCUUAUUUUUAUUCGCGACUAUAAACGUAGUAAUAAAUGCAGUGAUACAGGUAUACAAACAUACUUUUUGUAGCCACUGUACAAAUAACAAAGCGAAGAUAGAUAACGAAGUUUGCAUGAUAAGGAAUGCCAUGGAACACGUGGAAAUUAUGGUAUUGAUUGUGCGACUCCCGAGGGCAUACAUACGGUUUACAUACCGAAAGAUUUCACGGAUUUAUCACGAACAAGUCGAUGGAAUUUUAUAACAUGUCUCAAAAUUAAAGAGUUAAAUGGCUACGAGGCUUCCGAAAAAUAUUUCCAUUGUUCUUAUAUUUGCAAUUAUUAUAUAGAAGACGAAUAUUGCUAUCGUUAUCGCAGUUGUCCUUGUGGAAGAAACGUCAUGCUUGUACUAUUGUGUUUCAAUAAUUGCUGAUUGGAAAUUGCUUGAUAUAUAGUGUACAAAUAAUAUUAUGUCUGGAAAAAUGAUUAAUAGAGGUGCAAAGGUUUCGUGGAAAGUCGCGAGGAUUUUUAUACAGUUGUGCUUAAUCCCUUAACUUCGAUAUUGAAGUGUCGUGAAAAACGUUAAAUAUCUUAUUUAAAAAUUGGGAUUGACAAGUGCAAAAAUGUACAUACGAAAUGCAAUAUAGAAAAAUAUGAAAAAUAUUCAAUCUUGAAAUGAAUGAAUAUUUAUGUAAAUCUUAUUGCCAUAGAUAUGUUAAUAAAAGUAUGAAAUUACAUAAAAAUCCGCAGUCUAGUGAUUAAUAUUUGAAUAUUUAAUCAUUGAAAUUAAAUAUCACGACAACUUUUGACUCAACCUUAGAAUUUAAUUAUAUAGAACAGGUAUUUGAUAAAUACAUAAAUUUUUAUCUAUAUAUGUAUUUUUUAAAUAUAACGGAAGAAUUUAAUAAAAAUUACAAAAUUUGCAAGAAAUGACACGAUUCUUGUUUCAUUCGAAACAACAUUUUGCAUCCUUACUUGUUCGUACUAUUCCACUAACAGUUCUUCUGAUAAAUUACAAGUUACAACGAAUUCGGAUGGUAUUACCCUACAAUUAGUCACUGUCAAAAUGCGGUAAAAUUACCGCAAUCAUAUUGCGAUAACUCUUAGUCCCUUUCCUUCCAUCAUUUCAUCAUUUCUAUUCAAUGCGUUAUUUUAUAUACGUUAAACAUCACAGAACAGAAAACAGCAUGACAGAAAAGACGUCAAUGAUGUUCCAAGAACGUAAUGUUACACUGGUUUAUGGAAAAUUACCGUAACUUACUGCAAAUAAACACCUUCGAUUAAACACUCAUAGAGCCCGCAUAAUUCAUUCUUCUACGUUAAUCCAUCGUAGAUGAAUCAAAUAACAAGUAUGUAUCAGUACGUUUUGCUUACCAAAUACGAUCCAUCAUUUCGUUAUUCUAAUUUCUAUCGAUAAAAGAGGAAAGUUGUCGAUAGAAAUACGUACUCGAUGCCAUACUUCCCGGAAAUUAAUACUCUCCUAUUUAUGCUCAAUCUUCCGGUUUUAAGAUUAAUUGCGAUCACAUACCAGAGAAUUCGCGCACGUUCGUUUCCAUUAAAUACGGGUUAUUAUUAACAUCGAUAAGAUAUAUCGCGUAUGUUACGCAAACCAUGUUUUGGCUAGGUGGAAUGCGAAAUGUUUAAUAACGGGAAACAUAGUACGAAAUAAAACAUUAUUAUGUGCUUUGUCUAGACAGAUAUCUGUACGUGCUAAUAAUUACGGAAUAAAUAUCAUAAACGAUGUAAGCAUAUAUAAAGUAAGUAUACGUAAGCAAUGAUUUUUAACACGAAAAAGUUGCAAAUGAGAUACGUAUAAAUAUAAUAAGCAUAGAUUAUAUAAAAGUGGUAAAAUGACCUAUUCUUACAUUCAGGGCUACUGCGAAAUAGAGCAUUAACACGUAUAAUCAUAAUAGUUAAAACUAUAACGUGAUAGAUAAAUUUAAAAUUAAUCCGAUACAAUUUUUACCUGCCUCUAAAUGUAUAUAUUCUCUUCACAUAGGUGAUAAAAGCUGAAAGUUCAUGGCAUGCAAGUGUUAAACGAUAUCAAAAUUAAGUGUCAAAAUUAACAGAAAUACGAUUUUUGUUUCAAUUAGAAAUCUUCGCGUUCUGCAUUUACUCUUACCUUUUCGAUUGCAAAUUGGACGAAACUAUUUGCAACGAUAAAUUCUUAUCAAAAUUUUCAUUCAGAUUAUAUUCUUAUAAAAGUUUUGCGAUAAAACGCAAAAACAGUAAACGAUGAAGUUUUAUAUGGAAAUAUGUAUUUGGUUAGCAAUAUAUCAACCUCUUAAUACACAAAGACGUCUGGGAGACGUCAAUUUUUUUCGUAUGUCAUUUUAGAUGUUGACGUCUCCGACAUGCCAAGAAUUGUGCAUAAUUUUACAUUGAGCUGUAUUAAAUGGUAUUUUUAGUACGCAUCGAGCACCUAUUUCGUUUGUAUUAUAUGUCAUAUGUUGUUAAGAGAAGAUGUGCCAUGACAUUGUAUUAAAAAGUAUACAUUAAAUACGUAUCUACUUUGUUUCACUACAUCGACUAAUGUUUGCGAAUUUUUCGCUUGAUAUACGAAGUAGAUAAUUUCAGGUAGAUAUAACUUGGCCUGGAUUAAUGUAUUAAUCAAAGCGAUAUCGUUUAUCUCUUCAUAUUUCCUUAUGACUAUCCAAGUUAUCACUUUGUAAGAAAUUGAAGCGUUUAUGAAUUUUUCCUUCUUUUUAUUUUCGUUUAUAUUGAAAUAUUUUAUCCCGUUAACUCUAAAUUAUCAUUUAUUCAAUUUUGACAAUAAUUUUGAGGAACAUUUAAGGAUGAAAUCUCAUUAGUGAAACUUGAAGAAUACUUAGAUUUCUGUACG